rnacentral:rRNA from 1 species
CCUACGGGUGGCAGCAGUGGGGAAUAUUGCACAAUGGGGGAAACCCUGAUGCAGCAACGCCGCGUGAGUGAAGAAGUCAUUCGUGAUGUAAAGCUCUAUCAGCAGGGAAGAAAAUGACGGUACCUGACUAAGAAGCCCCGGCUAACUACGUGCCAGCAGCCGCGGUAAUACGGAGGGGGCAAGCGUUAUCCGGAUUUACUGGGUGUAAAGGGAGCGUAGACGGCGACGCAAGUCUGAAGUGAAAGGCCAGUGCUCAACACUGGAACUGCUUUGGAAACUGUGUAGCUAGAGUGCAGGAGAGGUAUGUGGAAUUCCUGGUGUAGCGGUGAAAUGCGUAGAUAUUAGGAGGAACACCGGUGGCGAAGGCGGCUUACUGGACUGCAACUGACGCUGAAGCACGAAAGCGUGGGUAUCGAACAGGAUUAGAUACCCCAGUAGUC